rnacentral:rRNA from 1 species
GUCCUUUUGUUAAUAAUUUAAGGUCUAGCCUGCCCACUGAGUAUUUAAAUGGCCGCAGUAUUUUGACUGUGCUAAGGUAGCAUAAUCAUUAGUUUUUUAAUUGAAAGCUAGUAUGAAAGGUUGAAUGAAAAAAUUUCUGUCUCUGAUUAAUUUUAUUAGAAUUUUAUUUUUAAGUUAAAAAGCUUAAAUUUUUUUAAAAGACGAGAAGACCCUAUAGAGUUUAAUAUAAUAUAAAAUUUUUUAUUUUUGGAAUUUAAUUUAAAAAAUAAAAUUUAUAUUUAAUUGGGGUGAUUAAAAAAUUUAAUUAACUUUUUUUUUAUUAAUAUAUUAAUUUAUAAAUUUAUGAUCCAAUUUUUUUGAUUAUAAGAAUAAAUUACCUUAGGGAUAACAGCGUAAUUUUAUUAUAGAGUUCUAAUCGAAAAUAAAGUUUGCGA